rnacentral:lncRNA from 1 species
CUGCGGCCAGGUCGAGCAGCCGGCUGACCAAUCCCAACUGCGUCCUCUGCGCUCUUCGAGCAGCGAUUGGGCACUGACUCGGGGUGAAGGCGUGGCUCUUGAUUGGCUUUGACUCCUGCCUAUGAGACUCUGAGGAUCUCGUUUCCCUAGUAACGGAUUGGCACGGAGGGCGGCCAAUCACUUCACGGGACGUCGAAAGGAGGGCGGGGAGUCCUUUGAGUGAUGUCCAGAGCAGCCAAUGAAUGCGUGGGGCCGCUCCCAUUCGUCAAGAUGUGUUUCCCCUGGGCGGAGAUCCGUUGUCCGUGCAGGAGCGGUUGCUCCACAAGGGCACUGGCUGGCUCUCAGCAUUAGUCAGCACUCCGGUGGGACAGUUGAGGGGACCUUCCUAAGGUCGCUGGAGAGGUCGCACGUGAGAGCCGCCGCGGAGCCCGAGAACACGGGUCUGCGCCGCCGGCUGCUGGUGGCAAGUGCCGGGGGCCCAGGCCGGCCGCGGGCCCCGCUCGCCGAGGUCUUCCCGGCCGUAGCUGCCGACGCGCCGCAGCCUGGGAGGUCUGCGCCCCGCUCGGGGCUCAGUGCAACAUCCUGCGCGUCACCGCCGCUGCCAUCCGGCCUCCGAUCGGCCGCGCUGUGGGGCUGCCCUGGCGUCUCCGAGGGGCGGCUUGCCAGACCCCUGCACGCCCGCCCGCCCGCCCGCCCGCGGCUUCCCGAAGCUCUGCUGGGGCUCGGCGGCGCGCCAGCCCGGUCCUGUCCACGUCUCUCGGGGCUUCGUUGGGCCCUCUGUUGGGCACCAUGAGCGGUGUGUAAGGAGACACAGACGCCCCGGCCGGCUCUCGUUCCAGGCUCGUGGUCUCCCGUGAAGUUCUGCAGACAGUUUGGGAGUGGAGCGCCCGGAGCGCCUCUGCUCGGGGAGAAGGGGCGCCCGCAGCCACCUGCCGGGACCCGGGCGCAUCCCCUCUAGCUCCCCGCGCGGGGACCGGCCCCAGACAGGGCUCGCGGCCGCCCCAGAGACCCAGCGAGCGCGUCCCUCCGGCCCCGCAGGUCCCGCUGCCCUGUGGCCCCAGCUCACUCCGCACUUAGGAAGCUCCUAGCGAGGGCUGGGCCCGGAGAGCAACUGAGCGCCGCCUCGGCUCUCGUCACCCUGUUGGGCCGACCGGGGCGCUUCGCUGGGUCGGGAGCCCCCACCCCCACCCCCUCCCCCACCCCCUCCCCCUCUGGAGGGGGAACAGGCGUCUAGGACAAUGAAGGCACCGGAUGGAACCCAACCCGGAGGAGAAACGCCGUUAAAGUUUCCUAGAGUAAGGACCCCCCCCCCCCCCCGCCCCAGCCCCACACCAGGAUCGGGUCAGCUGUGCUAAGGAAUUCGGAGUUUUAUUCUGUUGGGCAGUGCAGAGCCCCUGAAAGGGUUCUUAAAGAGAUUUCCUUUUACAAGACGACUCUCCAAAUUGAAAUGCUAAUGAGAGAUUUGCAAAACUUUAAAUUUGCUGAUUAGUAAUUUAACCCAGAUGGCCUGUGAUAGAGUCAAGGCUAUUCUUGGAUCACAUUUGGAGGGAAUUUUAAGUGAUACGGCUAUUUUUGUAAGGCUAUUUGGCAGUCAACUAUUAAAAUUGUGUAUAUCAUCCAAAACAAUAAUAGUACUUCUUGCUUUAUAGCCACACUUUUUUUUUUCCAUAAGAAGUGUAUAUCAGGGUGUUGAACUGCAGCAUUGUCAGCUUUGUUACAACUCUUAAGAACUGAAAAUGUAAAAAAAAAAAAAAAAGAAAGAAAGAAAGAAAGAAAGAAAGUACUGAAAAUGUAGAGGCACCUGGGUGGCCCAGUGAUUGAGCCUCUGCCUUUGGCUCAGGUGGGGAUCCUGGGAUCAAGUCCCACAUCCGGCUCCCUGCAUGGAGCCUGCUUCUCCCUCUGCUUGUGUCUCUGCCUCUCUCUCUCUGUCUCUCAUGAAUAAACAAAUAAAAUCAUUUUUAAAAAACUGAAAACGUAAUUGCUCAUUAAUUGACAAACUGGUUAACCAGUUGAUGAACCAAAAUGUAAUUGCUCAUCAAUUGACAAACUGGUUAACCAGUUGAUGAACCUAUAUUCUAAAACUACAUCACAGUGAUAUGCAUAUAAUAUAGAAUAUCAUGCAGUAGUUUUAAAAAGAAGAAUUAUACAGAUAUGGAUGGGUCUCCUUUUGUUAUUUGGAUUAACUGAAAAAAAAUCAAGUUCAACAAAAUAUACAGUGAAUUCCCAUUUAUGUCAAAACGCCUGAUUUCAGUAUGUUAAAAUCAAUAUGUAAAUGCAUUGGAAGAAUUUUAAAUUUAAAACAAUAGUUAUUUCCCCUAGAGAAUCCCCCAGGUUGAGAGUGAUGAGGAUAAUGUAUUAUUCAAAAGUUUUACAAUGAGACUGUGUCCAUGUACUGUGUUGUGUAAUGGGAGGUUGGAAGAAAAGAAGGGGAAUUGGAUUACCAGAGGGAGAAGGUAGACAAGAACCCUCACGUGGCCAUUGCUAUCUUCCACAGGAGAGAGCAAGUUGACAUUCUGUGGUAGCUUCCUCACUCAGAUCAUAAAAACUGGGGAUGUCUGGGUGGCUCAGUGGUUGAGUGACUGCCCUUGGCUUGGUCCUGGGAUUGAAUUCCUCAUCCAGCUCUCCACAGGGAACGUCCUUCUCCUUCUGCCUAGGUCUCUGCCUUUAUCUCUCGUGAAUAAAUUAUUUUUUAAAAAUCAUAAAAACCCUCAGCACUCAGGUGCUGGAUACUUAGUAAAUGUUCAGUGAGUAAUUUACUACAAAUGAAUUGUGUGGAACACUGGUUCUAAAGCAGGGGAGUCAGGGGAGAUUUUCCCCCAGGAGACUUGUGGCUUUAGUCACAACUGGGUAGAGGGACUACAGGCAUCUAGUGGGCAGAAGCGAGGGAUGCACAGAUGCACUGGAAAGACACCCACACCCCUGCCAUGACAAAGGAUUUUCUGGCCAAAAAAGUCAAUAGUGCCAAACCUCUCAGAGAGACCCUGAUCUGUCUUCCUGAGUCAUGUAGGGGAGAGUCCCCAGCCUCCUGCUGGUCUUUCUCUCUACUGGCAAGCAAAAUCUGGAUACCUCUCCUGUACACUACUUGACCCUUCUUUCUGCCAAUUCUCCCCAAAGCUAUGAGAAUCAAGGUAGGGAGAAAUGUGACCAAAACCCCAGAAAACACACUUUA